UGAAGGUCUUCCCCAGCCUGCUCGACAAACAACCUGACGCCAGCAGCGACAAACCGCGCGCUCCCUCCAGACCCGGCGAGCAGACAGCAGCAGAUGCGCUGACCUCGCGGGCUCCUGUGCCCUUCCCGUGGCCACAUUGGACCAGCUUGGACCAGAGAGGAUUUAAUUGAUAAGUUUUGUAAGAAGAGAUUUCAAGAAAAAAGAAAGCAGCCUGGCAAUGAAGUUGGAUUGUUCAGCAACCUAUUG